CAUUAGAACCUCCAACUUCGCCGUCUUCUCCUAUGGGUUUGGUUCCUUCUUGCUCCACCCUUCCUCCACUUUCUGCAGCUAACACAAGAGCAUUCACUACUAAAAGUACUGUGAAGUCCACCAGUGUGUGGAAAUCUUGGAGGUAGCUAUCCGGAAUGUGCAAUAUGAACACAGGACUUGGAGCUAAAGAA